CCCUACGGGAGGCUGCAGUCGAGGAUCUUCGGCAAUGGGCGCAAGCCUGACCGAGCGACGCCGCGUGCGAGAUGAAGGCCUUCGGGUUGUAAAUCGCUGUCAGUGGGGAGGAAAUGCCGGUGGGUUCUCCCAUCGGUUUGACCUAUCCGCAGAGGAAGGACGGGCUAAGUUCGUGCCAGCAGCCGCGGUAAUACGAACCGUCCAAACGUUAUUCGGAAUCACUGGGCUUAAAGGGUGCGUAGGCUGCCCGGUAAGUUGGGUGUGAAAGCCCUCGGCUUAACCGAGGAAUUGCGCCCAAAACUGUCGGGCUCGAGGAAGAUAGAGGUGAGCGGAACUAAGGGUGGAGCGGUGAAAUGCGUUGAUAUCCUUAGGAACACCAGUAGCGAAAGCGGCUCACUGGGUCUUCUCUGACGCUGAGGCACGAAAGCUAGGGGAGCGAACGGGAUUAGAUACCCCUGUAGUCG
rnacentral:rRNA from 1 species